UACGGAGGGAGCAAGCGUUACUCGGAAUUAUUGGGCGUAAAGCGCGCGCAGGCGGUCCUUUAAGUCUGAUGUGAAAGCCCACGGCUCAACCGUGGAGGGUCAUUGGAAACUGGGGGACUUGAGUACAGAAGAGAAGAGUGGAAUUCCACGUGUAGCGGUGAAAUGCGUAGAGAUGUGGAGGAACACCAGUGGCGAAGGCGACUCUUUGGUCUGUAACUGACGCUGAGGCGCGAAAGCGUGGGGAGCAAACAGG
rnacentral:rRNA from 1 species